UUUAUCUGGAUUCCUGGAAACAUGGUCAAGAAAGUAGAAUCCACAAGUGGCAGUGCCAAAUAGACUCUCUUCUGUCCUUAUGAAUCUAAUGAAGCUGAGGUUUCACUGUACCUCAAGCCAUUCCUAAUCCUGCACAUGCUCCUGAAUCUUGUUUGGCCUGAAGAAAGAAUCAUACUAAAACGUCCAAAUCUUUCAAGUCUCUUCCUGGGAACUCAUGAAGGUAGAUAUUAGAGAACUGAUAUAUACUGGGACUAAAAAAAAAAUUUCUAUAGCCCAUGCUGUCCUUUGCUUUAAUGAUGUCUUGUAAUUUUUGGAUAAAAUAAGAAUUUGGCAGAUUAUGAUUUGAAGAAGGUACAAAAUAUUUACACUUUUAUAUUCACUCUAUAGCUGUGCCCCCUUUGUUGACAAAAUUAUUGCAAAAAAUCAAUUGGAAAACAGAAUUUUUGAGUACAUAUUCAGGAAUAUAUAUAACGUCUGAAGAAAGAAUCAUGGUAAAACAUCCAAAACCUUCAAGUAUUGCCCUGGGACCACAGGAAGGUAAAUAUUAGAGAACUGAUAUCUAAUAGAACUACAGAACCACAUUCUAUAGUCCAUGUUUAGUAAUGUCUGGUAAUUUUUGGGUAAAAUAAGGAUUUGGGAGUUUAUCAUUUGAAAGAGGUACACAAUAUUUACACUGUUAUAUUCACUCUAUAGCUGGGCCAUGUUUGUUGCUAAAUUCAUUGCAAAAAUGGAAUUGGAAAAAAUGAAAUUUUUGAGUACACAUGCAGGAAUAUAUAUAAUGUGCACUGUCAAUUAAUGUACAAUCAGAAAAUGUAGCACGAUAUUCACUCAUUAAAGGUCUGUAGGGAAAAUACUGGCACCUGGGGAACAGAGAAAACCUAGGUAAUUGAACUUAUUGUCACAGGAUUGGACUUGAGAAAAAUUUAAUAUACAGAAGAAUCUCCUUCCUUACGUUUUCCUAGAUCAUUUCUAACCAUGACGAGCCCCUGACUAACUUUCUUCAUUCAGAACAUGUAACCACUAAUGAAGCAGAGAGAAGUCUCUAGCUUUAGAGAGAUGUAGCAUGUAAAGGUUUCUACUGUGUCACAGGAGACACUCCUGGAGAGGCCACCUCCAAAUCUGGUCAAUGUAAGGAAAGCUGUUCGGCAGGUAGGCCAUGGCAGUUCUCAGUGACUUCAUCAUUAGGCCCUGCCUGAAAAAUCUCUGGUAUCGUGGAGAGCCCUAGCUUCAUCUGUGAUGUCACAAGUGUUGUCAUGUCAGCCACUGCCUCUCAGAUAUUCCUUCCAUAUUUCUAUGGUUUACUAAUUGGCCUCUAAUUCAGAGUAAAGAGCCAUUUGGAAGGGAGGACAAAUAGGAUGAAGAGAUCAGAGAUGGGGAGAAGGAAGAUGGCCUUCUGUCAUGGUAUAAUAGAAAAGAAGAAAUAUGUGUUUCUUGGGAAAACACCCUGAAAAUUUUCAUCAAAGGAGCAAGAAAUUCUUCAUAACUUCAACACAACAUGGCCUUUGGGAACAGAAUAAAACACAAAUAAGGAAAGGCGGAAAA